rnacentral:snRNA from 1 species
AAACUUACCUGGCUGGGAGGCUUUCGCGAUCACGAAGGCGGAACCUUCAUGGCGAGGCUUGGUCAUUGCACUUUCGACCAGGCUGACCCGUGUGGCAGUCCCGAGUUGGGAUUGGCCAACAGCAUAAUUUUUGCGUUUGUUUGGGGACAGCGUUCGCGCUUCCCCGCU